rnacentral:rRNA from 1 species
UACGGAAGGCAGCAGUGGGGAAUAUUGCACAAUGGGCGCAAGCCUGAUGCAGCCAUGCCGCGUGUAUGAAGAAGGCCUUCGGGUUGUAAAGUACUUUCAGUCGUGAGGAAGGUGUUAAGGUUAAUAACCUUAGCAAUUGACGUUAGCGACAGAAGAAGCACCGGCUAACUCCGUGCCAGCAGCCGCGGUAAUACGGAGGGUGCGAGCGUUAAUCGGAAUUACUGGGCGUAAAGGGCACGCAGGCGGUUAAUUAAGUUGGAUGUGAAAUCCCCGGGCUUAACCUGGGAAUGGCAUUCAAGACUGGUUAGCUAGAGUCUUGUAGAGGGGGUAGAAUUCCAUGUGUAGCGGUGAAAUGCGUAGAGAUGUGGAGGAAUACCGGUGGCGAAGGCGGCCCCUGGACAAAAGACUGACGCUCAUGUGCGAAAGCGUGGGGAGCAAAACAGGGAUUAGAUAACC